rnacentral:lncRNA from 10 species
CAUGCCUGUAGUCCUAGCUACUUGGGAAGCUAAGGUGGGAGGAUCUUUUGAGCCCAUGAGUUUGAAUCUGCAGUGAGCUAUAAUGGUGACACUGUACUCCAGCCUGGGCAACAGGGCAAGACCCCAUCUCUAAACAAGCAAACAAACAAACAGAAAAAUGAACUGCUUCUAUUUACUGCAGUGGCAGCCUUUUUAUGCCAGAUUUUCCUAGGCAUCCAUAUCAGUUAGUUGUUGCUGAACAAUAAACCACCUCUAACUCAGUGGCUUAAAACACGAAGUAUCUGUCUAUUAUUGCUCAGAGUCUAUGGGCCAGCCGGGUGGUUCUGCUGAUCUGGGCCAGGACCUGCUGAUCUUGGCUAGUUCACUUGAGUGUUUCCAUCAGUCAGUGGUCAGGUCUAUUCGGGCACUGGGGAGGAGGUGAGGAGGCUGGUCUAGGAUGUCCUCAUUCCCAUAUCUCCCAGUCGGCUGGCUGGCGGCUCUGGGGACAGGGUUGAAGGAGCCAUGUGAUC